rnacentral:rRNA from 1 species
GGAAGUAAAAGUCGUAACAAGGUUUCCGUAGGUGAACCUGCGGAAGGAUCAUUAACGAGUUUUGAAACGAGUUGUAGCUGGCCUUCCGAGGCAUGUGCACGCUCUGCUCAUCCACUCUACCCCUGUGCACUUACUGUAGGUUGGCGUGGGCUCCUUAACGGGAGCAUUCUGCCGGCCUAUGUAUACUACAAACACUUUAAAGUAUCAGAAUGUAAACGCGUCUAACGCAUCUAUAAUACAACUUUUAGCAACGGAUCUCUUGGCUCUCGCAUCGAUGAAGAACGCAGCGAAAUGCGAUAAGUAAUGUGAAUUGCAGAAUUCAGUGAAUCAUCGAAUCUUUGAACGCACCUUGCGCUCCUUGGUAUUCCGAGGAGCAUGCCUGUUUGAGUGUCAUGGAAUUCUCAACUUAUAAAUCCUUGUGAUCUAUAAGCUUGGACUUGGAGGCUUGCUGGCCCUUGUUGGUCGGCUCCUCUUGAAUGCAUUAGCUCGAUUCCGUACGGAUCGGCUCUCAGUGUGAUAAUUGUCUACGCUGUGACCGUGAAGUGUUUUGGCGAGCUUCUAACCGUCCAUUAGGACAACUUUUUAACAUCUGACCUCAAAUCAGGUAGGACUACCCGCUGAACUUAAGCAUAUCAAUAAGCGGAGGA